GUGGUGUUGCUAGUUAUUUUAAUUGAGUGACACACAAGUGUGCACUUGAGGAACGAAUUAAGACCCGUAAACAAGGAUGAAAGCCCCCGCCCCGCAGACUUCAGCUCCUCCUCCAUGAAGGACGCCGCCUGGGAGGUGAGUCCAGGCCGGGCCAGGGAGGGCCUCCUGUGGGAAGGUGCAUUUUCACCUUACAGCCGGGAAGUAGACAGCUGCGUCACAGUUUCACUCAUGCCGGUCUCUUCCUGUGCACAUUCAAUGUUAACAUUAUUCUGGCAAAAGCCUUGCUGCAGAUAGUCUCUCCGGUCCCUCCUACAUCUCUUUCCAGAAGACAGUUUAAAAGGACACAUUUCAUCACCUCUCAGAAGGGGUUAACAUCACAGAAUUCCAAGUCUGAGGGUGGAGCCCUGAUCCUGAGAAGGUUUUGUUGAGUUCGGGACAGUAUUUCUUUACCCAUCCUUCAUGAAGAUAAAAAAUGAGGCAAAAUAGACACUAAAAUGGUCUCUGACAUCUCCUCAUGCCACCAGACAAGGAGUAACCAUGGUAACAAGAAGCCUAGAAAAAUUGGGGAAUGAGGAAGACCAGGAAUGAGAGCUCCCCUCAGCCCUGGGGGGACCUGAGUGUCCACAGCUGAGCCUUCUCUGCUUCCCUUUUCUCUUCUGGAUUCUGAUGGAGGAUAUUUUCAUCUUCCUCCCAAAAUCAUCAGAAAGCAUAAGGACAUAUAUAAACCGCUUUGCAAAAAGAGAGUGUAUGGAAUAAAAGAGAAAAUGAAGAAGAGGAGAAAGGCUGGAGUGCAAUGGUGUGAUCUCAGCUCACUGCAGCCUCAACCUCCCUGGCUCAGGUGAUUCUCCCACCUCAGCUUCCUGAUUAACUGGGAUUACAGUUGGAGUCUCACUCUGUAGCCCAAGCUGCAGUGCAGUGGUGCGAUCUUGGCUCACUGCAACUUUCACCUCUGGGGCUCAAGCGACUUUCCUGCCUCAGCCUCCCAAGUAGCUGAGACUACAGGUGCAUGCCACCACACCCAGUUCAUUGUUUUGUAUUUUUAGUAGAGACGGGAUUUCAUCAUGUUACCCUGGGUGGUCUGGAACUACUGAGCUCAG
rnacentral:lncRNA from 1 species